CCGCAGACUGCGCACCAUCGACGAGUCGGCCUCCAUCCUGUCGGACAUCAGCUACGACAAAACGGACGACUCGAUGGACUGGGACUCGUCCAACGUGAGGACGGUGCGCCUGAAGAAACGAGAGAAGAGGCGCUCCUCCAGAAAUCACGUCGACGGACCUCCAGGCGCCUCCAAGCGCUCCAGAUCCAACGGAAGGAACGCAGAGAGGG